rnacentral:tRNA from 1 species
AAACAACGAUAUUAAAAUUUAUGAGCUUGUACAAGC